GACGAACGCUGGCGGCGUGCUUAACACAUGCAAGUCGAGCGGUAAGGCCCUUUCGGGGGUACACGAGCGGCGAACGGGUGAGUAACACGUGGGUGACCUGCCCUCAGCUCUGGGAUAAGCCUGGGAAACCGGGUCUAAUACCGGAUAUGACUCCAUGACGCAUGUUGUGGGGUGGAAAGCCUUGUGCGGCUGAGGAUGGGCCCGCGGCCUAUCAGCUUGUUGGUGGGGUGAUGGCCUACCAAGGCGACGACGGGUAGCCGGCCUGAGAGGGCGACCGGCCACACUGGGACUGAGACACGGCCCAGACUCCUACGGGAGGCAGCAGUGGGGAAUCUUGCGCAAUGGGCGAAAGCCUGACGCAGCGACGCCGCGUGAGGGAUGACGGCCUCGG
rnacentral:rRNA from 1 species